rnacentral:rRNA from 1 species
GAAUCUGGCUUCAGGUUCGGGACAACAGUUGGAAACGGCUGCUAAUACCGGAUGUGCCUUAGGGUGAAAGAUUUAUCACCUGAAGAUGAGCUCGCGUCUGAUUAGCUAGUAGGUGUGGUAAGAGCGCACCUAGGCGACGAUCAGUAGCUGGUCUGAGAGGAUGAUCAGCCACACUGGGACUGAGACACGGCCCAGACUCCUACGGGAGGCAGCAGUGGGGAAUUUUCCGCAAUGGGCGAAAGCCUGACGGAGCAAUACCGCGUGAGGGAGGAAGGCUCUUGGGUUGUAAACCUCUUUUCUCAGGGAAGAAUGAUGACGGUACCUGAGGAAUAAGCAUCGGCUAACUCCGUGCCAGCAGCCGCGGUAAUACGGAGGAUGCAAGCGUUAUCCGGAAUGAUUGGGCGUAAAGCGUCCGCAGGUGGCAAUGUAAGUCUGCUGUCAAAGCGUCUGGCUCAACCAGAUAAAGGCAGUGGAAACUACAUAGCUAGAGUAAGGUAGGGGUAGAGGGAAUUCCUGGUGUAGCGGUGAAAUGCGUAGAGAUCAGGAAGAACACCGGUGGCGAAGGCGCUCUGCUGGACCUUAACUGACACUGAGGGACGAAAGCUAGGGGAGCG